rnacentral:tRNA from 1 species
GCCAGGAUGCUGAAACCGGUAGACAGGCACGGCUUAGAACCGUGUGCCCUUUGGGCGUGGGAGUUCGACUCUCCCUCCUGGCA